GUCUCCAUGGCGCAACUGGUUAGCGCGUCUGACUGUUAAUCAGGAGGUUGGCAGUUCAAUCCUGCCUGGGGACG
rnacentral:tRNA from 1 species